UAGCCGUAAACGAUACUCGCUAGGUGUCGGCCACGGUGCGACCGUUGUCGGUGCCGUAGGGAAGCCGUGAAGCGAGCCACCUGGGAAGUACGGCCGCAAGGCUGAAACUUGAAGGAAUUGGCGGGGGAGCACCACAACGCGUGGAGCCUGCGGUUUAAUUGGAUUCAACGCCGGACAUCUCACCAGGGGCGACAGCAGAGUGAUGGCCAGGUUGAUGACCUUGCUUGACAAGCUGAGAGGUGGUGCAUGGCGUAGUCGUGU
rnacentral:rRNA from 1 species